rnacentral:tRNA from 1 species
UAUCGGAUGACUGAAAACAAGUAAUGGUCUCUUAAACCAAAAUAUAGUAAUAUAGUAUUUACUUCUGAUGA